rnacentral:lncRNA from 1 species
GUCAACAAAAAAAAUAAAUAAUGAUAACUUUAGACUAAUAAUAUAAGAUCUUCUUUUACUUAACAACUUGUUACUGCCCGAAUCAUAACACCCAAACUCAUUUGCUAAAAGAGAAAAUACAUAUUCGCUUGAUAAGAUUAUAUAGUUGACUAACCUAUCAAAGUUAGUUAAAAUUGGAGACUAAAGCAGCUCACUCCAACAAAGCUUUACAAAAGAUUCAAAAGUUACCUGUAUUGCAGAAAAUCAAAGAUACAACUGUAAAAAUGAACAGAAAACAGCAGACACAGUAACAACCAGUAGCACACUUUUAAACCCGAUAUGAACCAGAAAUUCAAACCAAAAGCUCAACGACUUAGGAAAGGAAGAGAGAACUCACAAACAUUAAAUUUUCAGCUUACUGUUGGAUGUUCAGCUGUUGAUUUUUUCUCAAGUUUUGUGCUUUUUUGAGUAUAAACGAUAAUGGCUAAGUGUGUUAGAGAGACCUCCUAUUCAAAGUGAAAGAAAUACAUCUUUAAGUAGGAAAAAUAAGUCCUUUUUGACAAAUUUUGGUUCAUCAAAAUUCUGUCCAAAAGGACUAACUUUUGUGUGCCAAAAUAGUCUAUUUUCACCAAAAAUCUGACAUAAAGCAAAGUAGUCGUGUUUUUAGCAUGUCUAAACAAUAAAAUACCUAAUAACCAUGUACUUUAAACUCAAGUAUUCAUCUUUUAUCUAUAUAUGACUGAAAUUCAGCUUAUACACUCAAACUUCAAUCAAAUAUAAACUAGAAAAGUAGAAACAAGACUCAAAAUAUGAUUGAACUAAGUAUUUAAACAAACUAGAUUAGAAUGAAUUCGAUUUGUGCAAAUUAACAUGGAACAAUAACUGAAUUUCACAAGCUAAAGGUCAAAAUAGAAAUUUAAGUAAACAUCACUUAACUAUCACGAUUAAUAAUAACUAAAGACACGACUAACUAUAUAAACAAUUUAACUAAUCUUUUGGUUUUUUCAUGAAACUAACAUUAAGUAACAUCACAAUAAAGAAAAUCAAACUAAUUCAAAAUCAAAUGGGCAAACAAAAAAUGAGGGGAGAUUGAACUAUACUGAACAAAAUGAGGCAUUGAAGGCAAUGAGCUAAUUGUGAGGCAGUGAUACGACUCGUGCAAGUGUAUAUUGUCGAUUUUUAUCGAAACCUCACUCCAGAGCCAUAGAGGCUAGUUUUGAUGAAAGUCGACAACUAAAUCUCGCUUGACGCCAGUGUGAAGAGGGAAAUGGGAGUCUGCUGACUGGAAGGUCACUGGGGAGGCGGCAGUAGAGGUGGCCAAAAAAUUUAUCGCUGGAGUUUUAGGGUGAUAAUGACAUCAAUAGGAAGGUCUUGAGGAGCUCUAUCCGUUGAUAUAGGUAUUGUAGUGUGGUGGUAGCCGGAGCUUCAUGAAUUUAGGCAAAAAGGUUCCAGAUAGGGUUUCUUAGUUCUAAAAUUCAUGGAGUUUGAGGGAGAAUUAAAGGAUUUGAGGCUUUGAUUAGUAUUGGGAACGAAGAGAGAAAGGUCGGGUGAAGUUUUGGGGUGGAUUGGAGCCACCGAUGCGGCAGAGAAUAUUGGUUGCGGCGGCGGCCACAACAGAGAGUGAUGAGGGAGCUAGGGUUUUUAUGUGGGAUGAAAUGGGAGGAUUUUCAGAUUUUUGGAGCUUUAUAUUUGGAGUGGGAAAUAGAU